UCACUCACUCUCACUCCCCUUCCCCCAACACACCCUCCUCACACGUUUUCUCUUCAGAGCUUUUUGGUUUUGCCCUAAAACAAACCCUAGCCAUCUAACCUCCACCACCGGCGAAGGGAGUGAGGCACUACCGCCGUCCGUCGCGCUGUCGUCGUGCUCCAGGUCUCCAACCCCUGUUCAUUCUCACAGUCUCACCAAUUGCAACUUCUUCGUUGAGAUCGACAUUCGCGUCUGGUUUUCGUCUUCUCAGCCGCGCUUCUGCCAUCGUCAGUCGUCGUGUCCGUCGCCUGAUCACCAUUGUCCGUCGCACUAAACAGAUCUUCCUCACACUCUGCCCAAACUGCUCAGAUCGAAGGUAAUGGCUUCUCUGCUCACUCCUCCACGCCGCGCGCCUCCUCCACGUCACUGGAGCCCUUGGUCCUGAGAGUCUCGUGUUCGAUUGUCACGGCGGAGGGCCAUAUACCAACGUCUUAGUUUGGUUGGACUUAGUUUGCUGUCACCUCUUCCAAUAGAAAAGGCAUCAUGAGAGACAGAUACUCUAAGGGGUUGGAUGGGAGACACAGAUACUUUAAGGGGUUGGAUGGAAGCCAGCUAUAACUCGAAAGGACAUCCAUACCAGUGGUGGUCAUUCAUCAAGGAUGAAUUUAUCAUGAGAUGCAAUUUUGAAGAGUAGAAAAAGGUAUAUGUAAUGGAUGAUUUUCACGGAAGGUUAACCAAUUUAUGCAUCAAAAUUCAAAGAGUCGGCCAUGGACAAUUUCGUGAUUUGCUGACUAAUUUUCAAAACUACCGUAAAGAGUCAAUUUAACAAAUACAACUAGAGGAUAUAGCAUUGAAGAACAUCAUCUUGGAGGUGAUAAACUGUCCUUUUAGACGGGUAAUCCGGCGAUGAAUCGUGACGUUGAAGACCAAUGUAUCUCUCAACUUGACUUUCCCUUAUAAAAACGGUAUAAUUUUUUUUUCUUUUAUCAUUGUGUUUUUUUUUCCUUCUUUUAAAAGGGAUUAUUUUCAUUCAGUUGCCUCACCAAGAUAAUGAGAAGAUGGGCAUUAGAUCCUGUCUUAUUCAGAGUACCGCCAGAAAAAUUUAGUUUCUACAUACUGUGCAUUGGCUGUUCUUUCGAAAUAGGAGUGUCCCUUUUCAUAUUAACACUAUUUCGUAAAGGGACACUCCUAUUUCGGAAGGGUCCUUUUCAUAUUAACACUAUUUCGUAAAGGGACACUCCUAUUUCGGAAGAACAGCCAUUGCACAGUCUGUAGAAACUGAAUUUUUCUGGCGGUACUCGAGAAUAAGACAGGAUCUAGUGCCCAUCUUCUUAUUAUCUUGAUGACUGAAUGAAAAUAAUCACUUUAAAAAGAAGGGAAAAAAAGAAAAACACAAUGAUAAGAGGGAAAAAAAAUUAUACCGUUUUUGUAAAGAGAAGUCAAAUUGAGAGAGACAUUGGUUUUAACCUCACGAUUCAUAGCCGGAUUACCCUGUCCAAAUGGACGGUUUAUCACCUCGAACAUGAUGUUCUUCAGCGGUCUGAUAUCUCCUAGUUGCAUUUGUUGAAUUGACUUUUUAUGGCUUUGAAAAUUAGUCAGCAGACGAUGAAAUUGUCUAUGACCGACUCUUUGAACUUUGAUGCAUAAAUUGGUUAACCUUCCAUGAAAACCAUCUAUUAGAUUUACCUUUAUUAACUCUUCAAAAAUGCAUCUAAAUAUCAUGAUAAAUUCAUCUUUGAUGAAUGGCCACCACUGGUAUGUAAUGUUCUGAAAACCGAACCGGACUGGCUGGUUUAAUCGAGAACCGACGUAGAAAACGGUCCGGUCCUCUUUUUAAAAUCGCUGAUUCUCAAAUCGGUGAACCGACUGGGAAUUGACCGGUUGGACCGGACCGGGAACCGACCAGUUCAUCUGAAACGGCGUGUUAAAAAAAACCCGAAUCCCCCCAACCCAUGCGGGUCCUCACCCGGUUACCCCCCCCCACCCCCAUACACACCAAACACCCCUCCUUCGACAAACACACUCACCAGCAUGCCCUAAGGGUCUCAAACCAAAAACCCAGCCUCGUCAACGGAACCGCCGCCGCCGUCCGUGGUUGUCGGCGUCUCCACGGCCUCCUCCUUCCCCUGUCCCAAAUCCAUACGGUCAGACCUUCUCUUCUAGCUCGGGCUCGGCACGUCGUCCAUUCCCCUGGUGACUUCGCUGUUCGUGUUCGAGGCUUCCGGUUGCUGCGUCAUCGUGUCUUCAUCGUCCUGCUGUCAGUGGCUCCGUGGACUGUGGUAACUAAGAAGAUUAUAGCUGCUGCAGAAAUUAUUAGAAGCACCAAAACCCCAACAACUAAUGCUACAUUGCUACUACAGGAAUAGCUACAUUGUUUUUCUUCUUCUCAAUUGUUUUGAUGUGUUCGUUGCAUGAUGAUACAGAAUUACAUAGGAUCAUGGGUUUGCUUAACCCAAGGCUCAAUUAUAAUGCUACUUCUGCUGCUAUUCACUCUCUUUUCUCUUUCAACAAUCACUCAUCUAUCACAAUUUCUUCUUAUCAGUUCAAUUGUUUCCUCAUUUCAUUUCAUGUAAUCAUAUAUUCAUGUUCUUUUUUUCUUCCAAAAUUAGUUGCUCUUUUUAUUCAUUGAAAAAAUAAUUUGCCUAUUUAAUUUAGUGUCAUCACUGCCUUGUUAAUGCUAAUGCUAAUGCUUGGUUACUGAAUGCUCUGUUUUGAACUUUUGAUAUGUUGUAUAAUGUACUGAUUUUGUUGUUUUUAGUGUUUAAUUUAGUGCCAUCACUUCCUUGCUAAUGCUCUGUUUAAUUUAGUGUCAUCACUGCCUUGCUAAUGCUAAUGCUUGGUUACUGAAUGCUCUGUUUUGAACUUUUGAUAUGUUGUAUAAUGUACUGAUUUUGCUGUUUUUAGUGUUUAAUUUAGUGUCAUCACUCAUCACUGCCUUGCUAAUGCUAUGUUUAAUUUAGUGUCAUCAUUUCUUUGCUAAUGCUAAUGCUUGGUUACUGAAUGCUCUGUUUUGAACUUUUGAUAUGUUGCAUAAUGUAGUUAUUUUGCUGUUUUUAGUGUUUAGUUUAGUGUCAUCACUACCUUGCUGAAUGGUGUUGCUAAUGUACUGGUGUUGCUGUUUUAGUGUUUUAUAAUGUGUUGCUGUUCGAUAAUAUACUAGUGUUGCUGUUUUAGGGUUGCUGAUGUACUUUUGAUAUUUUAAGAUUUAUAUUAGACUAUAAUUAUAUUUUAGGGUGUUUAAUUAUAAUUUAUUUAUUAUUUUAUUCUAAAACGGUUUUUUUGGUUGAACUACCGGUUGGAUCAGUAAACCAGUGAACCAGUGACUAGAGCGGCUCGAUGAUCGGUCUGGUUCUCAGAACCUUGGUCAAAACUAAUCUAUAGUAGAGGGCCUAAUCACAGGGCUAAAAAUCUGAUUAUAGUCAAUCCCUUCCGAUUGAUGAAAGCCCUUUCCUACAGGCCUUGCUUUGUAUCUAAUUAUAGAAUUAUCAGGAGCUCUUUUGAUUGCAAACACCCAUUUGCAACCAAUGAUGGUACAUUGGAUGGAGGAUCAACAAGAGUCCAUGUGUUAUUUUUAAUCAAAACAUCAUACUCCUCCUGCAUUGUCUUGAACCAGUGUGGGCAAUUAACAGCCUGUUUGACGGUUUUAGGAAUUUCUUGUGUUAAGUCAAUAUCAAGGUAAGCCGAAUUGCAUAUUUUUUGUUUUGAAAUCCCAGCUUUAUCUCUAGUAAUCAUUGAGUGAGUGUUAAGAGAAGUAUGUUUAGCAGUUUGUAAAGGAGUAGGGACUUGAACAUGCUAGAUGAGUUUAACUAGUAGUCUUCUAGUUCUGCUAUUAAUUUAUAAUUUUUCCCUUAUAUUUUUAGUCUUAUUUUAUUCUUUUUUUUUUAUGUUCAGCUAUCAUCACUUAACCAAAUACUUUAUGGAAGGAAUACAAAUUUAAAAAGAUUAGUUUUUUCUUCCCUUAUUCUUUUUUUUUAUGUUCAGCUAUCACCACUUUGAUCAUGACCUCGGGCGAGAAACCUACAAAAAAGCACUCUGUCGUUCAAAUACGAGAUCAUACACUUGGUGAUCUGGUGUUUGAAAAAUAUAACUUCCUUUUUUAGCUCAUUUUAUUCUUGGUUGUUGCCAUAUCUUAUGGUUGUUAUUACUUGCACCCUCUUUUGGCCGUUGCUGUUUAGGCAUUCUACAACUGUCAAGGGUCGAUAAUGCGAUAUUCGAUUCGAAUUGAAUAGUACUUUGAUGUCGGUUGAGCAUGUUACUACUUACAAGUACUACUAUGUUUUUUUCUUUGUUAUUAUUUUAGGAAGAUGUUCAGGUGUUCCGUUGUACUUGAUUGGAACAUUUGAUUCCACUAUUUUAAGCCUUUCAGAUAUACUUUGAAAAAUGUAAAUGGCUUAGAUUGAUUGAAAAUUCUUGAUAUGGACAGCACCUGCAAGAAUUCACGCUGAGCAUGCAACUGGUUCAUACUUUAGUCAGUUUAUAAUGGUUCAAAAUUCCGUUGCUUGCCCAAGCGAGUUGGGGAACGAGCUCUGAUUUGUGUACUAAAGGUGUUUUACUGGCUUGUAUGUAUAUGAUAUAGUGUUGGGCCUUUAGUUAUAUUUUUGUCGCUUUAACUGGAAAUUGACUCCAAACUGUGUGAUGCCAUGAAAUAAAAAAUUUUGAUGGAAAAAUAUUAAUAAGUGAUGCAACAGCUCAACAUUUUAAUUUUCAUGUAAAUUUGAAAACAAUUAUUUUACAUCUUAAUA